CCUGAGUACGACGGAGCACGUGAAAUUCCGUCGGAAUCUGGGAGGACCAUCUCCUAAGGCUAAAUACUCUCUAGUGACCGAUAGUGAACCAGUACCGUGAGGGAAAGGUGAAAAGUACCCCGGAAGGGGAGUGAAAGAGAACUUGAAACCGUGUGCUUACAAGUAGUCAGAGCCCGUUAAUGGGUGAUGGCGUGCCUUUUGUAGAAUGAACCGGCGAGUUACGAUCUGAUGCAAGGUUAAGCAGAAAAUGUGGAGCCGUAGCGAAAGCGAGUCUGAAUAGGGCGAAUGAGUAUUUGGUCGUAGACCCGAAACCAGGUGAUCUACCCUUGGUCAGGUUGAAGUUCAGGUAACACUGAAUGGAGGACCGAACCGACUUACGUUGAAAAGUGAGCGGAUGAACUGAGGGUAGCGGAGAAAUUCCAAUCGAACUUGGAGAUAGCUGGUUCUCUCCGAAAUAGCUUUAGGGCUAGCCUCAAGUGAUGAUUAUUGGAGGUA
rnacentral:rRNA from 1 species